rnacentral:rRNA from 1 species
CCUACGGGUGGCUGCAGUGAGGAAUAUUGGUCAAUGGACGCAAGUCUGAACCAGCCAUGCCGCGUGCGGGAAGACGGCUCUAUGAGUUGUAAACUGCUUUUGUACUAGGUAAACGCUUCUACGUGUAGGAGCCUGAAAGUAUAGUACGAAUAAGGAUCGGCUAACUCCGUGCCAGCAGCCGCGGUAAUACGGAGGAUCCAAGCGUUAUCCGGAUUUAUUGGGUUUAAAGGGUGCGUAGGCGGUUUGAUAAGUUAGAGGUGAAAUACCGGGGCUCAACUCCGGAACUGCCUCUAAUACUGUUGAACUAGAGAGUAGUUGCGGUAGGCGGAAUGUAUGGUGUAGCGGUGAAAUGCUUAGAGAUCAUACAGAACACCGAUUGCGAAGGCAGCUUACCAAACUAUAUCUGACGUUGAGGCACGAAAGCGUGGGGAGCAAACAGGAUUAGAUACCCGAGUAGUC